rnacentral:rRNA from 1 species
GACAGAGGGGGCAAGCGUUGCUCGGAAUUACUGGGCGUAAAGGGCUCGUAGGCGGCCAACUAAGUCGGACGUGAAAUCCCUCGGCUUAACCGGGGAACUGCGUCCGAUACUGGAUGGCUUGAGUUCGGGAGAGGGAUGCGGAAUUCCAGGUGUAGCGGUGAAAUGCGUAGAUAUCUGGAGGAACACCGGUGGCGAAGGCGGCAUCCUGGACCGACACUGACGCUGAGGAGCGAAAGCCAGGGGAGCAAACGGG